UUUUUCCUGUUUUUUCAAAAGAGAUACACUGAAAUGUUGCUCCCAAUUUCACUCGAGAAAUAGGGAAACCACAUCAUACCUUGAGCUGCAUAAGCUUUAAACCACAUGAUCGACAUUCCUCUCUCUCUCUCUCUCUCUCGAAGUCCCAACAUUAAGAGGAGUGUCAUGAGACUUUAUGGGUGGCAUGUCACCACCCCACUAGCAUCAUAAAAAAAAAUCAACUCGUAAACCAUUUGAAAAAGAGAUAAGAGCCUCUUUUCUCCACUGAAUUACCCCUCCCCCCCCCCCUCCUCCCCAAAAAAAAAAUAAUAAAAAAGACCAAACCGAACCGAACCGUAAUGCAUACAGGUUUGCAUCACACGUGCACACACAAGAAAAGAGAAAGGACACUUGUCUCUCAACCUUGAAAGUGUAGUACCCAUUCUGAAAUCCAAGAGUAGUUGCAAAGGCCACCACACAAAUCGCAAUGUGCAGUAACCAUUUUAAAGAGUAGUUGGUGGGGAGUGAUUAAAACGACCGCUUCCCCUUAUUCAAUAACCAGACUCUUCCCUUUCGAAAGUUUUUUCAUAUUUUUCCCUUAAUCAAAGAAUAUGACACAUUCCUAACCAAAAGGACCUCCAUAAAUGAAUGCAUGCAUUCAUGAACAACACAACUAUCUCGUGUAUUAGAAAGUAGUUCAUUGCAUGUGCAUUAUGCCCCAUCCACAAUGUUCCCAUGUGCAUCAUGGUCCAUGCACGCAUUACUAUAACACUGCUAUCCUCCUUAAUCAAUGGUGUCUUUUUGAACUAUACCUGUUUUUGCCAUUAAUCAUGUUGUGUUAAAUCAACGAAUGGGGUAGAUGCUUUAAUUUCAUUUACAACUUUUUUAUUUAUUGAGGCAUACUACUAAUAGUUGGGUCUUAUCCAUAGAGUAGGUUUCUUGGUUUGCCCGCCUUGGGAAGAUUGCACCACCAUGAUACUCUUAAACAUGUAGCAUAGCAUGCACAUUUGUUUGAUACAGACAAGUCCUUUUUAAAAAAAAAAUAUUUCCCUCUCUUUGUAAUUAUAUUCAUUGAAUAGUUCGUAGCACGUGAAAACACAUGAAUCUUAUGGAAUGCUAGCUUGGGGGUGGCAAUGGGCCGGCGGGGCCAGCCCUAAAAUAAUAGGGCCUUGGCCAUAAAAUGUGGCUUGAGGGCCAGGCCAGGGUAAACCAUCACGGCUUGAGAGUAGACACGAUCAUAAUAGGGCCAAUCUGGUUUGGCCUAGGCCGGCCUAGUCUCGGAUCCGUCAAUUUGUGUUUGUUUUUGUGGGUGAGAACAUGGACCAUGAAUGCAUCCUAUCCAAGGUCUCUAGAUGGGGAAUGAACAACAAACAGUUGAGCUUCCCACAACAUUAAGUGACGAAGGAUACCAUUUCAUAAAAAGAAAAAUAAUUGAAUUAAACGUGAUGAAGAGGAUGCAAGUUGGGGCUUCCAUAAAAUGAGCAAUAAAAUAUGGGUGUUGUAAUGAUGGAACGAUGAAACAAACAUGUAACCCCCAAAACCAUUAGUCGAUACCCAUGAAACAUGGCGAAUUUAGAACUUACUUCUCUAUUUUGCCCAUUGAGGAAGUUUAGGGUCAUAAGCGUGAAAGAUUGAAGUCGGGAUGAUUGUCUGGUCAAGAUUAAGCUACUCACAUUUUUUAACUAUUCAACACUGCUUUUUUAAGGAAAAUGUUUAUAUAAGGUGUCAACCAACCUUAGAGUAUAGAAGUAAGGUGCAUCUCAAAAAUCCAUCGAAAGAGGUUUCGUUAUUAGAAAAUUUGUCAAUUUAUCAUUUUGACCUCAAUAUAUGGAUAUGAAAGAAAAAAUGGAUUUCAAGCCUUAAAAGUAAUGCAUCUUGUAAUACGUUACCUAGACUGUUCAUUUUCAAGAUUUUGGAGUGCUCCUAGAUCUACUAAAUUUGCAUUAUUUUUAGGGCCUUCAAUUUUAUUAUAGGAGUGAAAAUAACUUUUAGGGUAUGAUAAAAGUUUAUAUCUUUUAAUGAGAUUUUGAGGUGCACCUUACCGUGAUUGUUUAAGUUUGACACCUCAUACCAGCGUUUAAAAAAAAGGAUCGGUGACUGGAAUCGGUCACACCCGUACCUGUGUUGAUCAAGAAAAUCGGUGGAUCGGAUCGAAAGAAUGGGCAAAAUCGGUACUUUGGUCCCAAAUUAUUUUAAAGAAUAAUUCAAGAAAGAACUGUUCAUCUUUUCUUUUUCGUUUUUUUGCUUGACUCAUUGAAGAAUCAGUCGGACUCGGUGAGGAAUCGUCAUAAUCGGUAGUUCCACUAAAAAUCGGUGAGUCUACAAUUAUGCCUCGACAGAAUCCCGGUUUUUUACUGGAUCCGAGAUGGUCACGGUGAUUCCUUAUUGGAUCGUCCGAGUCUGGACCAAGUCACUAAUUUCCUCAUACAAACCUCACCUGUUUCCAAUACACGAGUCAAAAGAUGAUGAAAUGACUUGGCCACCCACAGUUUGGGUUGCUCAUUAACGUGUGAGUAGCCCAGAUCUACUACAUAGCUAUGAAAUGUCAACUUUCACAUACGGAACAAAUCAGAAAAAGGGAAAGUUGUAUCUCAUAAGCAUGCCAUAAAAGGUUGAUCUAGUGCUAGAUAACCUUCAAAUCGAUCAUCUUGAUCUCAAAAUUAUGAAUAAUGAAAAUAAAUUUAAUCUAUAUAAAUAAUGCAUCUUGUAACAUAUUAUAUGGACAAUCUAGAUAAAGCACUCAUGGGUCUACCAAAUCUUAAUUAUUUUUUGAGCUUCAAGGUUCAUAGAUUCUCAAUAUAUGUUAGGGUUUUUGGCUCAGGAAUUGCAUUACAUGGCAAGGCUUUGAAAUGCAGCUUUACUUUUCCUCACAAAUCCUAGUCCUUGUAUUAACUCCACCCCAUAAAGUAAUAUAUUGUGCUUGUUAAUAAGUGUUAUUACAACUGCCAAUAUGUUAUAAAAGAUGCAUACUACUAUCACCGAGGCCUGUUAACGAGAGGUACAUUUCUUGAAAAUGUGAGUGGCGAACUAUGGAAAUACUCAAGAUAAAUCAUAGUUAUCAUGACCAAAUCAUACGGGCUAGUCUAGCAAGUUCGAUCAAUGGCUUGGAGAGCCCAAUUUAAACCAAAAAGUAAGUUGGCUUAACCAGUUAAAUUCAAUAUUAGACUGAUUUUUGCUGUUCAUACAUGACAGUUUUGAUUGGUUAUACCAGCUAAACAAAAUUUUGCAAUUUUUUCUAAGAUCUACUCCAACCGAGCUGUCACUAUUAACUUGAUGAGGCUCCUUACUGGUUUGUGAUUGAUCCAAUCAUGAUAAUGUUGAGUUAAAUUGCAUAGGGAUGGAUGAAAGUUGAGAACAGUGUUAAAAAAAUCGACUCGGCCAAGGUAAUUAGGCCCUGGCUGAGGCAAUUUACUCAGCGAUUCUGAGUAACUCACUCGAGUCCAAAUCCCUUCAUUUUUUUUUAAGAUAAAAUUAGAUAUAUAUUAUACGACCGCCACAUUCCAUCCCUUGGUAACAAAUUUGCGUCGUGGUUAUUGCUUCAUGCAUAAGAAAACCUCUUUACAAGAGGUCUGGAGCUCCAUUCCUUAAAGUGUAAGCGAUUUUUAAAAACUCAAAAAAAAAAAAAAAAAAAAAAAAAAAAAAAUAAUCUCGCCCAUAGCGCGAGGCCAAGUUACUCAAUUGAGUCCAAGUUGCCUCGGCCUAGUUUUAGAACGCUCGUUGAGAAUAUUAAGUAUCCAAAAAAGUUAAUACACUUAUCAAAAUUGAAAAUUUUCGAAUUUGGACACACUUUUUAUACAUAAACUAUUUCAUUGCCUAUAUCAAAAUUACCUGCCAUUUCAAAACUAGCGAGUACGAAUGCCAAUUGGUUAGGUGAACCCGCCGACAAAAGAGUGGCCGAACACAGUUUUAGGUAUAAAAUCAAAUAUUAAACCCAGUAGGUCAGGUCCUAAUGCAAACGACCUAGAGCCCCCAACCUGGCUCAGAUUUGAGUCUGGAUCCAUUUGUGAACUUAUUGGGUUGGGUUAGAUCCGGUUCAAGGUUGAGAUGACCUGACCCGACGUGAUAUUUAUCUAUGAUAUAUACAUAUAUAUGAGACAUUUUAUAUAUUACAAAUUUCUAUAUGAAAAUCGAUUUUCCUUUUAUUUAGACCUUGACCCAACCCAGUAGGUCAAGUCCAAGUCCAAUGAUUUGGAUCCUAUAUGGGUAUGGAUGAGGUUUGGGUCUAGCUAGGACCCAGUCGGGAUUUGGUCUGGGUUAGAGUCAACCCUGACCCUGACCCAACCCGACCCAUUAACACCGAUACUAAGGAGAAUCAAUAUUCAACGAAAAGGCAUAUAUAUCUGAACACACACAUAUUAAGCGUUCAUUAAGUCUUCACAUUAUAUACUGAAUCACUUUAUUGUUUGGAAUCAUAAUAUGUAUCGUAUAUAAAGUUUUUCGUGGUACUCUAAAAUUUUCUGAUUAAGCUUAGGGAAUCAUACAUGCUAAAUUUUGAAUAUGAAUGAUGUAACUCUAUGCCUUCAUUAGUUCUUCUCUUUAUUAUUCUUUCUCUUUUUUAAUGCCAUCAAUAAAAAACUGGGUUUCCAAGAUCACGGUGUUCAAGUUUAUUCUUUUAUUCCCAGAUGUAUUAUUUAUUCUCAAGAGAAUUCUUGCAAUCAUAAUUUCUUAAUUUGAUCAGAAUACAAUAUGGGCCAAGCUUCUGCACAAUAUUCCAUUAAGAGUAAAGAGUGAACAUUUUUCCCUUCUUCUAUGCUAAAAAAGGGUACGAAUUCCUUCAUUUAUUUUUAAAUGAACCUAAACAUACUGUAUCUUGAAUUGGAUUGGAAUAUGUAUAUCAUCAUGGCUUUUUUCAAACUUUUCGAUGGAUUAAUUCACACACAUUUUUUAAUUUACUUGGAAUAUUUCAAUUUUCUUUGAACAAUUCGGCUUCCUUCAUCUAUACAGAUGACAAGAAAUAUUUCAAUUGACCGAAAUAUAGGGUGAAGUUUGUAUAAGGUGUCAUCAUUAUACAAUUGAAGUAAGGUGCACCUCAAAAUUAUGUUGAAAAUGAAGUUUCGUGCUGCAAAACCUUGCGUUGAUAUGAAAAUCUAUUGUUGCCUCUAAUUAUGAAAAUUAAAAUUCCAAAAAUGGUGAUGAUCAAACAGAUUGAUACAUACUAGAAAAUCUUGAAAAUGGAUGGUCCAAAUAAUGUGUUAGAAGAUGAACUAUUUUUAGGACUAAAAGUCCACCAUUUUUUUUUUCAUGUCUAUGAAUCUUGAAUUCUAGAUGACUUAUUUGAGGGUUUUCCACCAUAGGAAAGACCUUCUCUAGUGGGCUUUUUAGGUGCACCUUACUCGUACAAUAUAAGGUUGACACCUUACAUAAUUUUUUUUAUAUAGAUUAUGAUUUAAUAAUGGGAUUGUAUAUCUUUGUUAUAACAACGUCACAAUUACUCCUAGCCAUCAGAUGUCACAUUGGAUGGCUUGGGUGUGUCACAAAAUUCAAAAAAUUUGUUUUUCAACUUUUAGUGUAGCCAAUGGCACACUCACAACCAUCCAAUUUGAAAUCUUUUUAUACUUGUUCUAAAAUAAAAUAGUCUCUUUGUAUAUUUUCCCUUUAAUAAUUAAUAUUCCUUUCAUAUGGUAAAUUCUCUCUUUUUUAUUGUGUUUAUCUUUGGUUGAGUCUAAACAAAUCGAGUUAUUUCCAUAUUUUCGAGCAUUUUUCUUUGUGUUUGUGUAUGAUACAAGUUGCACCUAUGGCUUAAGGCAUAUAUAUCUUUAUGUUAAAAAAAAAUUAAAAAAAAAAAAAGAAAAAAGAAAAGAAAAACGAACUCGUGGAUCUAGGUGCUUUAUUGAGUUCACAAAUAUGGGAUUUGUCCGGUUGCCUUGCCCAUCAACAGAAUCGUGUACAUGACCCCACCAAUCCUAUGUUAUUAUCAAGGAAAAUUGUCUUAUGCGGGCUGGACCGCAUUACUAUACAUGCAGUCCAAAAAGUGUAAAGCGUCCAUCUUAAAAAUAAAUGAAAAUAGGUGUUCCAUCUAAAAAUAACGAAAACUAACUGUUCAAAUAUUUUUUUAUUAGAAUUAUUAUUUUUAAUUUUUAAAAAUUACUUAUUUUUUAUAUUGAUGACCCCACAUUAGAGAUUACAUGUUCUUAAAAAUUAAGUAAAAAAAUAAAUAUCAAAAAUAGAUUUAUUAACAGGCCCGCAUUUUUUCAUAUGCCGGCUUAGUCGCAUGGAAACCAGGUCUUAUUAUCAAUUCACACGUUAUGAAAUGUUAGCUCCAGUGUGUGUGGAUUUGUCGUAUGUUUUUUCGUUUCAGCGUUAAAAUUCAUGACACUUAGAUCUUGACACUUUUUGUCGAAAUUUGAGUUUUACUUUAACCCAUACCAUCUAAGAUAAUCAUCCGCAAUCUAACAAGUUAGACCGGUUGGUUUGGUUCAGCAUUUGUAACAAAGGGAAAUGCUUCCUUACAAUUAGCAUUGAAAAAAAUGAAUUGCAGCCUUGAUUGACUUCAUUUUCAAAUCGCGACUCUUUGCACAAGAUAAUCCCGCACGCGCACCUGCUCUCGUGGCCUUUAGACCAUGCACCUAUUGUUGCGCCUUUGUCCGCUCCAACAUUCUAAAAAGGAGCACCUUUCGUGGCCUCGACCAUCACUGGUUGGGAUCACAUGUCUAUUCUCACUCACAAAAAUAUCCAUUGGGUUUCCUUUUUGAUCUUUUUGUUUUUUUUUUUUUUUUUUUUUUUUGCGUGACCAUCACUGGUUGGGAUCACAUGUCUAUUCUCACUUAUAUCUUUGGUUUAAUGCUUUCCCCUUAUGUGAUUAGGCCCUCUAAUUACAUUUAAACAACCACCAUCAUAUUCCACAUCUCACAUUGAAAGCACACUACGCAAGUUUCCAAGACCAGGUUCCUUGUGCAAACACGCUUCUAAGUAGGAGGAGAGCCGUUUGUAUCACGCAUUUGUAUUCACCAAGCUCGUCCCAAUCCCUGCUUAUCCUAAUUGAAAGCUUAAGCAUACUUAACACCACUAAUCCAGAUUCGCAAUAAACAGCCAAUUCAUUCUAUUUUUAUCUCAUGAUAUGAUUCUUUAUCAGGUGAGGGCCACGACGUCGACGCAGAAUGGCCCAUAAUUGGUAGGGAAACGCCACACAUACAUACACCACCGGAGCGUCCGUUGCCUGUCACGGUCAUGGAUGAUAGAGGUUAGUGUAGUACUGGUUCUUGUCAAAGGAGAUUCACCUACGCACGCCCGAGUAACAUCCAUCUUUCAUCAUGGGGAACGGAUGGUAGAUGUACCCAUGGUAGGAUAUAUACAAACCAAGUUUUCAAAAAACCAGUGAUCCUGAUCAUAAUCGCCCCACACAGAUCAGGUCCGAUGGAUGGGCGAUCCAGGUCUAUAGCCCCAAAAGUUGCUACAAUCCUACCUAUUUUUGUUUUUAUUAUUAGUUUCCCCGAUUUGGCUAAUAAUCUGGCCAAUCCGGAUCGGCUCUCUGGAUCCAAAGACUGAUCGCUGUUUUUUAUUCUUGAAACACUAAUGCAGAUCUGUACACAACCCGUACACCACCUGUGGUGUAUGGAAUACUUACCUAAAUUGGCAUCACUCUCUCUCAUCUCUGGCUUUCUCUCUCUAAAAUCUUGCAUUCUCUCUCUCUCUAGAAUAUGGAUGGUGUCAUGGCAAAGAAAAAAUGAUUGGAAGAGUGUGAGUCUUAGCUGGCCCAAUGGUUACAAAUAGCGACAAAAUGAGAAAACGACAAAGCCACCACGCAGCCAAAGAAACUAACGGCCACGUGGAUGGCCAUUCCCUUCCCAGCUCAGGGUACCACGUCAGAGGUGAUUGGUAAUGGUUGGUUAGCACCAUAGCCAGGUUAUACACCACGUGUGAUAAGAUGAGAGAGCGAGGUCGAGGCCGAGGCCGAGGUCGAGGUCGUGGUCAUGGUCGUCGCUCUGCUUUCCAUAACUUCAAUUUUGUCUUCUUUGAAACGCAAGCCACGCCACGCCACCCCACGAUGGGGGCGCAAAUGUGACUUUCAAAAAUCGUGUCUCGUAAAGCUUUAAGGAUAAUGACGAGGUUUAAAUUAUUAUUAUUAUAUUUUUUUGGGUAAUAUAGUGGGGGUGACAUUGCUUUUACUCGUUUUUUAAGCAGAUUAGAAGAAGUUAGCUUUUUGAAAGUCUUAGUGAGGUAAUGUUAGUUGUAGAAAUAGAAACCACAACGUGGUGAUUUAAAAGUGAGAUGCUACCUAACGCAUGGGUGGAGUUUAACUUGCUGGGCACCCAUAUUUUGGAUGGCAAUUAUAAAAUUAUGAGUGCAAAUAGCUAUUCCUUUUUAAUAAAGAUAGCAAUAGUCGAGGCCAGGUCAGCUCUGGCUGUAGCCUUGUCGGACCGGACUGGACCAUUGCCAAAGAAAAAAUGAGCCAGGCAACAUCGAACCAAGCCAGCAUUUGCCUUAACCCAACCCUCAAGCCACACUUUGUGAUCCAGGCCCUACUUAUUUAGAACCAAACCACCGGUCUCAUUACCAGCCCUACCUAUCAAAACCUCAAAUCGGUUUAAUAAAUAAAAGUAGAACGAAAUAUGUUAUUUUUUAACUAACUUUUCAAAGAAUGGGGUUGAAAGUUGAAACACUAGUGUUGUUUAAGAACAAGUUAGCGACUUCUAGAAGAAAGCGAAAAUGAUUAAUAAAUAAGAAAAAGGAGAUUGAGAAGAGGAAUUCGGAUAAACAUUGAAAAAAAAAGGUAACGAAAUUAAGUCAUUUGAUCCAAAAAUGUGUUGAAUUCAAAGUGGGUCUGCUUUCUUUUCGUAAAUAAAAGUCUAAUUCAAGCAUACGAGGAAUUGCGACUCAAAUUGAGUUGUAACGGCGGCCGCCCUUUCUGUUCGGUGUAACAUUCAAUAUCCGAAAUUUGCAAGAAAUUUCGUCCUGAUGAAGGCCUAGAAAAUAGGCACGAUCGCCGCCUGUGAAGCGUGUGAACGCGUUUGGUGUACUGAACUACUAAUGAUUACGUGCACAUAACGUCCCACGAACUUCCGAAGGCUCGGCCGACAUGUCUACUCACGCAAUUGUACGAGCCAGCGCAGAGAGGUCUCCUGCUUGAGUGUAAGGGUGGCAACCGAUCGGUCUGGCCAGAGCCGGUCCAGUUUUGGACCUACGCUGGACUAUUGGUUCAAAGGUUAAAUUAUAUCCGCACCUAUCAGGUCUUUGGUUUAUCCCAUGAGGUCCCCGUCCGGUCUGGUCUGGUCCGGUUCAUAGCCACCCUCAUUAUAAAGUUUUCUUUUAUUGUUUUUGACCAAAUUUUUACUAUCAUGUACCUAUAUUAUUAGCAAAAAGAUUACAAUCGCCUGCAACUAGAUUUUAAUCUGUUUAAUUUGUCGUUUAUUAACUAAAGUGUGGUUUUUGUAAAGUUCCAACCUUAAACAAUCUGAUUUCUACACACCUCUAAAUUUUAUCAUAGCAUGUAAUUUAGGUGUAAAAAAUUAUUAGGAUUAUCUCAAAAUCUAUUUUUAUAUGUAACUAUAAAAUUUUAAAUUCCAAAAAUAGUUAAAAUCAAGUAGAUCUAUAAACAUAUGAAAAUCUUGAAAAUGGACGUUCUAGAUAAUGUGAUGCAAGAUGCAUUAUUUUUUAGAUGGAAAAUAUAUGUUUUUCAAAUUCACAUAUCUCGAAGUCGAGAUGAUCAAUUAGAGGGUUUUUUAUCAUUAUAAUCACAUUUUUCGAUGAAUUUUUGCAGUGCAUCUGUAGUUCUCAAUUUUAAGGUUGCAGUCUUAUAUAAACCUUUUUCAUUAUAAAGAUGACUACAAGGUCUUAUUGUAUACGUUCCUUAAUACACACAAACGAAUAGAGCCUGAAGUAUUUUAUCUCCAAUAAUUUACGGGUAUAGGUACAGGUACGGGUCUGAUCCAAUCGGACCUGGACCCGAUCCGCUAGGUCCAAAUGUUAGACCCAUAUCAAGACCAGUGUCAAGUAAUCUUGGGUUGGGUCUAGAUCCAUUGCCACCCCUACUCGAGUGUACUUAUGAGUUGGGUCAGUAAUGGACAAGUUGACCCAGCCAAGCCAAGUCGAUCUCCCUUCAAAAAUUAUGGCCUGGUCUACUAAAUGUGGCUCGAAGACCAAGUUAGGUUCCAACAAUUGUGGCCUAUGGCAUAUGGACAAAGUGCCCAGCUCUUUCUAUCCCUUAAAUUUUUAAUUUAUUUAAUUUUAUUACAUUUCAAUUAGUGUGGCCCAGCCUUGACAGGACCUAGACUAGGGCCUCUUUACCCCUCUCUAGGCCGGUCCAACCUGGAGUGGACCUUGUACGGACUACAAACUAGGGCCAAGGCCGGCCAGCCUUUUACGACGUCUAUUUAUGAGCUCUGUCUGUCUCUCUCUCUCUCUCUCUCUCUCUCUCUCUCUCUCUCUCUCUUGCACAUGAAAUUCUAAGCUCUCUCUCACUUCUUACAUAGCCCAGGUAGGCCCAAGUGGGUUAGGCUAGACUUGUGAGUACCACCAUAGGGCCAAACCAACCUCACUCGGCUCUAUGUUUCCUCUCAUUUUAUUUCGUUGAAUCUAAUGGGUAUGGUUUGUGUAAGACCGAGGUGCCAAAUAAUCAAAGUGGGGCACACCUUCUAAUAGUGUCAAAACAUAUUGUUUCAGUAUUAAAAAUCUUUAUGAUAACCUAAAAUUUUAUUUUUAUUGCUAAUUAUAAAAUUAAAAAUUAAAAAAUAGUUUAAGAUUGAGCAAAUCUAUAAACACUUGAAAAUCUUGGAAAUUGACGGUCUAUAGAUAAUACAUUAUUACAUGAUGCACUAUGUAUUAAACUUCAAAUUUAUUUAAUUUUUUUCGUGUUCAUACAUCUUGAGGUCGAGAUGAUCACAUUGAGGGUUUUCCAACAUCAAAAUAAUAUUUUCUAAUGAAUAUUUGAUAUGCGCUUUAAUUUUAUUGUUUAAGGCCUCACCCUUAUAUAAACUUUUUCCGAAUCUAAUAGACCUAGCUUGGCAGUAGCUAGGAAGGAGCCCUAUCCUGCGGGAGCUAGGCUUGGGCUUUCCCUAUAGGAACUGGAGCUAGGAUGGCCCAACUCGACCCACCUCAAGCCUUGAGUCAUCAUGGGUGUUUUUGGAUAUUUCCAUCUUAUAACAUAAUACAUCUCUAUAUCCAACUUUCUCUACCAUGUACCAUCUCUAGAAUUUUUUACCACUCCAAUUCAUGAAACAUUGUUUGGAGACUUCUGAAAAAAAGGAAAGCACAUUGUAGGAUGAUAUCGCCUCCCUUAAAAAGAGUUUUAGAAUACUUCAACUUAUUGGAUAUUCUCUUAAUCUAGUCAACAUUCAUCAAAUACUCAUUACCUUUGUUUUGUAAUAUCAAAUUUUCUUGCACAAUGAUAUUUGAUUAAUGGGCGUGGUUUGUAUAAGGCUGAGGCCCUAACAAAUCAAAAUAAGGAGCUCAUUUAAAUAGUAUUGAAAGAUGUUUUAGUAUAAGAAACCUUUGUGGUGGCCAUAAAAUUUAUUUUUAUCUCUAAUUAUAAAAGUACAAAUUCAAAAAUAACAUAGAUCAAACAAAAUUUAUAAACACUUGAAAAUCUUGAAAAAUGACAUUCUAGGUAAUAUAGUACAAGACGCACUAAUUCCAAUACUUGAAAAUUUGAAAUCAAUUUUUCUUGCGUCCAUAUCUCUUGAGGUUGAGAUGAUUGAAUUGAGAGAUUUUCGACACCAAACAACCACUUUUAGUGAAUUUUGAAGUGCACCUUAAUUUGAUUUUUUAGGGCCUCCCCCUUGUAUAAACAUUUUCCAACUAUUGCCCCCCAACUAACAUUUCCAACAUCUGAUGUUGGGAAUUCACCAUUUUUUGCUAUUUUCCAUUCAAUUUGACAUAUUUUAUAUUUGUUUUUUGUUUUUGUUUGAAUUUUUAUUAAUUAUUUUAGUUUUUAAAAAGAAUGAUAACAACAUCUUCAAAAGUAAAUGGAUAAUUUAUUUUAAAUCCACAUAACAUUGGUAAAAAGAAGGAUCAAAUGGUAAUAUUCAAGGAAAACAUGGUCCUUGACUAUAUAGAAUCAACCUCCUAAAUUCAAGUUGUCCUGGACAAACCGUGGACACAAGAAUCAGGAUUAGAGGUCGUGUUCAAAACAUCAAAUAAACCAAGGUUAACCCUUUGCCUGUCAUGUGAACCCAUUGAACAGUCCUUGAGGAAUGCCAACGGUUUUACUAAGUCUUGAGUAAGGUUGUGAAUGGGUUGGGUUUGUUAUAUACUUUUUCAAACACAAUUAGAUAAUCGUGACAGUUUGAAUGACCUUGGAUGGUGAUAAAUUACGGGCGAAUAAUUAUUUUAAACACUAUUAGACCAUCGUAAUCAUCUGAUUGACUUUGUAUGGCGGUAAACCACAAGUGAAAUUGUAGAAACAAAAAACAAUCCAUGAAAACAAUAAAGAAGAAACAAACACAAAAUAAAGAGACAAUCAACUACAACGCGAAGAUAUACGUAGUUCGACAACGUGCCUACGUCUACGGGACAUGAGAGUUUCUUUACUGGCAAUGGAGAAUAGGAUUAUAAUAGCUCUCUUUUCCUCACGCCUCUCUGUUCUCUCUUAUUACAAAGAAAUCAAUGUUUUUCCCUUAACCCUAAAAAGAACCCCCAUCACUACAAUAUAUAGAGUCCCGUAUAAAUUACAAAAUACCCAUGUACGGAUAUAUAUCGAGUCCCAGAUAAAUGGUACAAAUUACCGAAAUACCUUUGUACUGAUACCCAAAAUUUUCCUCAGGGGCUGCCGCCCCCCAACCCCCGCAAGGGCCAAGUUAACCGAGUCUACCUGCACCGAACACUCCUCGAAACCUCAAGCCCUUCAAGCAUUUGCUCUUCCAAGCUUUUAACAAUCCUCCGGAGUUGUCCUUUUGACUAUACCUUAACUAAUCUAUUUCUUCAUAAUACAAAACAUCAAUCAUCAACAAAAAAUUUCGUAGAACUUCACUCAUGAGUGUUUCUAAGUGUUUUUAAUUGUUAAUUUUCCAUAGGGUACCAAAAACGGUGUGAGCUGCUAGAAUUAUCUUAUUUACCUAUUCCUUUAUUCCAUGAAUGUAAAAUGAGUAAGAAUAAUUGUUUUAAAGCCCAACUAUGUGGAUUGGAACAUAUAUGUGUAAUAUAGUAAGAGACUGCAAAACGCCCAUGGGCGAAGUGAAUAGUAUUUUCACCCAUAGGCUGGACGCCAUUUCAUUUCUUCAAAUGCCAUGGAUUAAAGACCGUCAUGGAUAUUUCUAGUCCGUGAUGGGAGUUUUUCACACAACUUUGACGUAAAUAAUAUGGGGGGACCGCCACAACUCCCAUAGGUCCACAGCGGUUUUAGGCAAAACCGUCAUAGAUAUAGCAUGUUCGUGACAAGGGCGAAAUACUAUAGCACUUCUCCUAUAUAUAUAUAUAUAUAUAUAUAUAUAUAUGGAAGAUGCUAGGGUUAGCCUACUAGCUAAUGGAAUAGUAUAAGCCAAAUAGCCACAGAUUAAAUCUAGGCCGAUCUGACGGUCAUGACUGUAUUUUGGUAAUAUAAUUUUAAUAUUUUUUAUAUAAAUCCAAAUAACAUGAAAUUUGGAUCAUCAACUUUUCUCAUCAAGACACACCUAAUAAAAAUAUUUUUAAAAAAUAUAAUUCGUAAAAAAUAAAUUGACCAAAAUACCCAUGAAACAUUUCAGGGUAUUUUGGUCAAUUNNNNNNNNNNNNNNNNNNNNNNNNNNNNNNNNNNNNNNNNNNNNNNNNNNNNNNNNNNNNNNNNNNNNNNNNNNNNNNNNNNNNNNNNNNNNNNNNNNNNNNNNNNNNNNNNNNNNNNNNNNNNNNNNNNNNNNNNNNNNNNNNNNNNNNNNNNNNNNNNNNNNNNNNNNNNNNNNNNNNNNNNNNNNNNNNNNNNNNNNNNNNNNNNNNNNNNNNNNNNNNNNNNNNNNNNNNNNNNNNNNNNNNNNNNNNNNNNNNNNNNNNNNNNNNNNNNNNNNNNNNNNNNNNNNUUUUGGUCAAUUUAUUUUUUACGAAUUAUGUUUUUGAUAUUUUUGAUAGAUUACAGUAUUUUUUUUAGAUUCCAAUAUUUUUAAAUAAUAGAAUCUCCAAAUUUCAAUUGAUUUGAAUUUGUAGAAAAAAAAUAAAAUUCAAUUACAAAAUACAACUGUGAUCAUCAGAUCGGACCAGAUUCAAUCUAGGCUGUUGUGCGCCCAACGGCCGGGAUAAGACCUGCCUAUUUCAACAGUGAUUUGUUUAUAGGAAACCUGACAUCCACCUGUCAUUCGCGCAGGCUAUGGGAAAUAGGCAACAGGCCCCUACUGCAAGGCUCUCUCUCUCUCUCUUCUACUGGAAAUUAAUCACCGCUCUCUCUAUAGGACGCAGUCCUCUCUCUCUCUACUGGAUGCAGAACACAGGUACUCUUCUCUAAACUUGAGCUUCUUUUACAAUGAGGGUAAAAUAUUCAAUAAGGAUUCUCUCUCUAUGACCAGGCUUGAAAGGGAAUCUGUCUCUAAAACUCUCAGCAAGUCAAAUAAAUAGUGAAAAUUUCCCUGAUUUUCUCUCUCUAUUAGGUAAUUUCUCGCUUCUCUAUCUUAAUCCCUCUUUCUUCUCUAUCCUCUCCCAUCCCUCUUUUUAUUUCCGUGAUUUUCACUCUCUACCCAUUUAUUGAUCUCUCUCCUCAUCCAACCACCAAUUUUUUCAAACCCCAAAAUCCUCUCUUUCUCACACCAAAAGCAACAUAUGAGUGUAUCUUCAUCAUCAUCAUUUGGGUCAUUGACAAGAUAAAAAAAAAUGGUACACCGCAUAAAUUUUCUAUUAAAAUGUUCAUUAAGGUUUUCUAGCAUCACCAGAAUGUUCAUUAAGGUUUUCUAGCAUCAUUAGUCAUGCCUUCUUUGUUUGGGCACUGCAGUUUGAUGUUCGUGAAGGUUAUGUGAUUUUAAUUUUUAUUUGGUUUUUGACAAAAUGAUAUUUAACUAGUUUUUUUUUUUUAGGAACUUUUUUUUGCUUUCCUUGUUUAUCCAUUUCUGUAUUUUUUCCUGAAGUUUAGCAAAAUUACCAGAUUUUUUUUAUUAUUCUUUUGAUUUUCCUCUUUCCUGGCUCGGCAGAGCCUCAGGCAAAUUGAUUAGUAGUUUGGGACUUGCCGGGGUAACAAAGCCGGGUUGGUGGCCAAGUUUUACUACUGAGCAGUCUAAAACCUUGGUUAGCACUGUCCUGUUGGUGCUCUGAAUUAUGUGAAAUGUUUAAUUGGUUUAAUCCACUGUGAACUGUGAUAUAGUUCCUCAAGUAGUGUGAUUUAUUAUUGUUAUUAGUGUCUUUGGCAUUACAUUUCAAUUUUUUCUGAGAAUUUUAGGGUUCUAAGAAUUUUAAUAUGUUCUAUGAUUUUUGUGAUCUGUGAUAUGAUUUCUGCUCUUAUUGUCUCUCUAUAACAAGUUCAUUGAGUUAUGUGAAAUGUUUAAUAGGUUUAAUCCACUGUGAACUGUGAUAUGGUUCCUCAAGUAGUGCAAUUUAUUAAUUUUAUUAGUGUUUGGCAUUACAUAUCAAUUUUUUUGAAAAAUUUUAGGGUUCUAAGAAUUUUAAUACAUUGUAUGAUUUCUGUGAUAUGUGAUAUGGUUCCUGCUCUUAUUGGCUCUCUUUAUAACAUGUUCGUUGAGUUAUGUGAAAUGUUUAUUAGUAUAAAUCCACUUCUCCCCACUAAAAUCAUUUUUGAAAAUCACUCCACCAGCCACCACAAUGUGAUAUGGUUCACGCUCUUACUGUCUCUCUCUAUAAUAGGUUUCGUGAUCUGUGAUGCUUGAAUGGUGAUACUCUGCUCAUAAUCCUAUCUCCUAAUGUAUUAUUAGCUAUGUUCAAACUUUGAUUAUCGUUACAGUGCUACCCACUCAAGUACAAUUUUGUAUAAAAUUGUCAAAUUUCUUUUUUUUCCACCAUGUAUUUCGUAUAAAAUGCAUGAAUUCAACAUGUUUCAACUAGCUGCGCUCUUUAUACAAUUUGUAUAAAAUUGUCAAAUUUAGCUUUGAAUUUGCAAUUUGUCAUGAUCUUUGCAUUUCAAUGUACUCUGUUCAUCGACAUAUUUCCAAUAUGUUAUGAUGUGCUCGAAGUACAUAGUUAUGUAGUCCUUCACAAUGUGUUUAUGACGCGAUUAUUGUAGGCCCUAACAAUGUCAUCUCAUUUACAAGUAAUCGAGGAUAUACAACUCAUCAAUGCCCUAAGUGCAGUAUAGAUUGUGCUACAAAAAUAUCGGCAAGCCCAAAUAACCCGAAUAGGAUGUACUACAAGUGUCUAUUAUGUGGGUUCUUCUAAUGGUGUAAUGAAUAUAUUACCAUCAUACAAAAUGUCAAUUUAAGGCAUCUCAAUACACAACAAUAGAAUCUAAUGGAUGAAUCGAAAGAACUUGUCAUGGUCAAUCAAGAAAGAAGUGUUGGUCAUGAUACGAUACUCGGUGCCAUAGGGCGUUUGCAACAAUUCUUACUUGUGCCUUUGGGCGUUUCAACAAUUAUUGUACUUUGUGUAUAAUAAAUGUGUGCAUGCUUGCACUCAUCUUUUUUAUUUUUUUAGUCUUUAUUCGAAACAUGUGAAAGUUUUUUGGGGUUGCCUUUUUACUAAUGCAAUUAUUCCCAUUGUAGAAUUCAAUCGUUCACAUAUUAUGGUUCAUGUUGUAGUUGUGGAAUUCAACUCUCUCCCUCUCUCUCUCUCCUCUCUCUCAUCUGUAGAGAGAGUGAGAUGGCUCUUUAUCUCUCUUUCUAUGUUACUCACUUUUGAAAAUUGUACGUAUGAUGAUUCCAAGGAUCUUAGAGAGAGAGAGAGAGAGAGAGAGUGUGUGUGUGUGUGUGUGUGUGGCCGAUGAGUCCAAGUGCAGCAUUUGUGUGAACCUAUGAAUGAACUAAUAGGGAUGCGGGGAAGAUGCAUAUUUCUUUCCAAGAACAUAUUUGCACACUUCUGCCAAAAGAACAAAACAAUAAAUUUUAAGAAGAAUAUAGAGAAGACACAGUAAAAUUUGCUAUAAUUUUUAACAUGUUUGAAAUAUGAAUUUCCUAAAAACAAGAGAACACUUGAAUCUAAAUGCAACUGUAAGUACAAUGAUGUACCUCCAAGUUAUAACAAACAAACUUAGACAACUAAAUUGAAAUGAAAGAAUCCAACAAGUCAAUAAACCUUGGACAACCUUUGUCCACAAGACAUAAUGAUACAAUCUUAUCACCAAAAAGAUCUAAGUGACUUUGACAUAAGCCAUAGAGUUUCCCAACCCACUUCUAAUUGGACAUGAGUGCACAAUGCCAUCCACUCUCUAAUGCUUGUCACAAUUCUUGCACUAGAUCAACAAGUGUCUGUCACCUAAUUACUACAAACAGCCCUAAGAAGUAGUUAGCACAAUGGGGUCAUUGUCAAAACCUGUUAAAAGAAAACAAGGGAAAGAAAUGUAAAAUCAGUAAGCAACAAAUGUAAAACCAGUAAGCAACAAAUGUAACUUAAAUGAUUCACUAUAAACCCAUUCUGACUGUUACAAGGAAAGAANNNNNNNNNNNNNNNNNNNNACACUCUCUCUCUCUCUCUCUCUCUCUCUCUCUCUCUCUCGCACACAUACACACACACACAGGUGACAACUAAACUUUGCUGGGCUAAUUGUUCUAACAUUAAGCACAUCUCUAUGAUUUCUUGAUGUGCUCUAUUACCAGCCUUUAAGUCAUUAACCAUACCAUCCACUAUGAAAAACUAUACUCUGGUGUCAUCCUAAUUUGCCUCUUUCUAAAUACACACUUUAAGACCAAACAACAAAUCUGUUUAUUGACAUCGAGAUACACACUGACUUCAACUGCAUAUCAUGUGAUGAUAUGAACAACCACCAAAUUGAUGCAAUUUCAUAUAUAAGGAAUGCUAUCAUAAAAGAAAUAAGUGAUUGCAACAAAAAAAUGCAAUCUAUUAAGAGAAUGAUCCAAUACAGUAUUCUUCCACAUUUUAAAUAGGCUUAAUUCCACCAAAAAAUUAAAAAUAAAAAAUAAAAAAAGAUACGCUUUGAAAAACAAGUGUUGAAAUCAAUACUGGAUGUAAGUUUAACGUGCACCAAGAUGAAACUUACAUUCAGCAAAUCCACUUUACACUGCAUCAAGUGACCAAAUUGGCUUUGCAUUAAAAUUUCGGUACCACUGAUCAAUACUAUACAAGGAAUUUAUUCUAAUGAUCAAUUACAAUGUCUGGUUUCAUCGAAAUUUAAAAUCCACUUUACACUGCAUCAAGUGACCAAAUUGGCUUUUCAUUAAAAAGUAUGUACUACUAAUCAAUACUUACAAGGAAUUUAUUCUAAUGAUCAAUUACAAUAUCUGGUUUCAUCAAAAUUUUAAAAACCAAUCGAUUACAAUGUCUGGAUUUUAUUCUAAUGAUAAAUUACAAUCUCUGGAUUUUAAUCUAAUGAUCAUAGAACCUAAUGGCAAGCAAUUUGAGCAAGAACUGAGCAAAUACUCAUAAAAGCAAGCCUCCCAAAACAAACCGAACCAUUUCAAAUUCAAUGCAAAUUCAAUGCAACAAAUACUUGUUUACUUAUUACAAUGAAAAGGACUAAAAUUUCUUACCAUUACUCAUCGUGUUCCACAUUCUCACUUGACCCAUCCGUGCAUCUUAUAUUGACAUUUAAGCUAAACAAAGAAACCCCAUUUCAAAUAUUUAUAAUUAAUGAAUUCAUAUUACCAUCACAAAAAGUACGAAAGAUGGAGCAAUAGUUCAUCCAUACUUUAAACGUGCGGCAGCUGGACAAUUCUUUCUGUCAUGUCCACUCCUUUUGCAAACUGCGCACUUUCGGAUAAUUUUCUUCUCUUUCACUUUCACUUUCUCUGCCUCUAUCUCAGCCCGAGGUACAUAUCUAUCAUUGGUAGGUCUCCCCUUUGUUCGUACCCGGGGGGCCUCAAGGAUGUUAUGGCGUGUGUGUCCCUCAACCUCAGCGCAGUUGCUAUUGUUGGAAUUCAUAUUCUUAGUACGACUGCUGCAAAGGGUCUUAAUAGCACCAGGUGGUAAUACCACAGCCCCAAACUUGGCCUCAACCUUUGCAACUGUACUUGCUAUCUCAGACAUUAUAAAUGCAUGAAGUUCUACACUUUCUAAAGCACACUCUGCUAGCACUCUAGUGGCUUGACAAACCUCAUUAAAAUGAAUGGAACGGGGUAGAUCAGAAGUACCUUGAAUUUUUUUAUUGUUCGCAUCGACUACAACACCUUGCAUCACAUUUUUCGCCCACCUCUUCAUUAUGUAAUGCGAUGGGAUUUCAAAAAUAUUUUUCACUAUCAACACCCUAAUCCCAUGCCUACAAAUAAUGCCUAGUCUCUCAUAUGUAAGGCAAGUAUAAGAAAAAGUUUGGUCGUAACAAUUGAACUCUACAGUGAAGGCCCUUGUUCCAGUUCCACGUUUUGAUGCCUUGAAGGUUGUAACUAUGUCAUUCUCUUCAUAAUUUCACUCAUGUAAUUGACGCCUUCUGCAACUUCUUCCUUAAAAAACUUUAUAACUUUGUGUAUAUAUAUCUUCGAAGCGUAAGCCCCGAUGUCAUACGUGGUCCUCAAAAAAGGCGUAGAUGAGAUGUUCUUUAAGUCAUUUUCUCUUAUCUUAAGCAGUUUUUUAUCAUGCACUUUUAGACUAGUUUCCAAUAAUGUGCGCAAAGGUUAUAUUGGAAGUCACAUAGUUUUUGAAGUGCUAAUUCAUUUCUUCACUUCUUUGAGUCAAUAACAUACGGGCUGUGAAUGCAUCUGCCACGCAUGCAUCAAUCCACUGCUCUCGACAUCUGUACAAUCUAUUGAGUCAUUCAUUCUGUUGAAGAUCAUAUUUCUCAAUUAGAGAUUUCUAUUCCGACUCAAAUUCUUUCUUAGUUUCACUCAUUAUACAGUUUUUGAAGUGGUCUGAAAAAGAUGGACUCCUUCGCAAGACAUGGCACAAUUUUUUUUUGACCUUUGAAAGCAUGCGACACUAACAAUAAUAAUGUAUGCUUUUAUUCAUAAUUUCUCUCACUGCAACAGUCAUUGCAGGAUCUUGAUCGGUGAUAAUGACUCCCGGUUGACGUUCACCCAUUACCUCAAACCAAUUUUCAAAUACCCAUACAAAGGACUCUAUCUUCUCAUCAAAUAUAAGUGUAAACCCAAAAAUGUUGUGCUAAGGCAGUGAUUCACUCCAAGUAUGGGAGCAAAGGGCAUGCCCAAAGAGUUUGUCUUAUAUGUAGUAUCAAAAGUGACCACAUUCGAGAAGUGGUUGAAGAAUACCUUUAACAUGGCAUCUACCCAUAAUAGGCUGACAGUAUGAUUUUCUACAUCUAAUUUCACCUUAUAAAAAAAAGAUCGAUUCGAUCUUUUCAUAUUGAUUAACCAUUCCAUCGUACGGUUCCCAUCUUCCCCUAUGAAUUUUCUUCUCUUCUUUCCUAAUUGGUUUUUGAUGUCUUUUUGUGAGCAAGAAAUAUUAUCAAUCCCUCCAGCCUACUCAAAAAAGAUAUCAUAGAUAUUCCGAAACUUUACCAAAGCCGAGCUUAUGGAGUUUAUUAUUGUCUUUGUCGCAUCCGAUAUUGUUCGGUGCGAUCGGAUGAGUCGGACUUUCCUUGGAGAUACAAGGUCAUGAUUGUGAUCCUUAACAAACUUUGUGACAACCCACUCAUUGUUGUCAUUUAUGCUUACACACAUCUUCGUUGUACAUCCACACCUUGACUAAAGGAUUUUUUUUGUAGGUAACACUUUUUUUACCCUACGAAAUCCUUCCUUGGAAUAUAUAAAAUCCCUAGCAGAUCUCUUUUCAUCCUUAUUGUUGUGAAUAGUUCCCUUUCUGACCCAUGCACCAAUGUAAAAGCCUUGUAAAACUCAAAUGCAUCAUUUUCAGCACCGAAUUUCAUUCCUGUGUAGGGUUACACUAUUUCUUCCCCCUUUGGAUGACGACGUAUGUUCCCGGUUUCUGGGAUUUGUAAACUUAUCGGGGGGCGAGUUUGCAACUAAGGGAUAUUGCCCCAUAUUAUCAUCCUCUGACCAUGUGGGGGAUACCACACUUUCUGAAAUUGUGAGGUCUAUCUCAACUACUAAAAUUACAUUACACAAAAUACAUUUUAUUUGAUUCACAUAUUUUAAAAUAAAUGAUUAGACAAUUUGCAUAUCUUUUCUUUUGUUCAUUAGGUUUAGUUGGUUAUCAAGCUUUAUUACAGACACCCAUCACAUUCCAUGUCAGUUCCAUUUUAAGGGACUUUAUCAUAGUUUUGUUGUGUGUAUUAUGUGCAGGGAGAUGUUUCAUUCUAUUAACAUAACUCAGUUGAUGGUCAAAACACUUCUAUAAGUCAACAACCUAACAAAAGAACAAGAACUCCCUUGCCGCUUUAUGGUGAAGAAUGUGAUGUGCUCAAUUGAAGGAAAAAAAAAACUAACUAGAUGAAUUUGUUCAUUCUACACUACAAAGCUCAAUUAUUUUAGUUUGUUUUGAUCAUGCUUGCACAAUAAACUCAAGGAAUAACAUCUAAUUAAACCAAAACAUGGGUGCUACACUGAAAGCCCACACAGUACCUCUUGUUAAAACUCUAAAACACACUGCCUUUGGAAAAAAAAGAAUUUUACAAUUUUAUAGAAAAUUGUACCUGAGUGCGUAGCACUGAAAUGAUAACCAAAGUUUCAACAUAGCUAAUAAUACAUUCGGAAACCGGAUUAUGAGCAGAAUAUCACACUUUUCAUGCACCAAAUUUAUCAACUAUCAAAUGAGAAUAAAGGGUCUGCUUCUACUCUUCCAUUAUAUAAAAAUGAAGGAACUAUCAGAAAAAUGAACUCUAAUGUAGAAUAUCACUACAUGCUCUUGUAUAAAACGAAUGCUUAAAUUCUAUAUUCUCAGACUCGCUGCUUCUUUUCUACAAGAUUAUAGAUUGACUUGAUAUUUUUGUUUUUUCUAUAUUACACUUAGGACAUUACCAACUUGUAGAAUGAGAUGACAUUGUUAUGGCCUACAAUAAUCGCAUCAUAAACACAUUGUGAAGGACUACAUAACUAUGUACUUCAAGCACAUCAUAACAUAUUGGAAAUAUGUCAAUGAACAGAUAACAUUGAAAAUGCAAAGAUCAUAACAAAUUACAAAGACAAAGCUAAAUUUGACAAUUUUAUACAAAAUUGUAUGAAGAGCACAACUAGUUGAAACAUGCUAAAUUCAUUCAUUUUAUACAAAAUACAUGGUGGGAAAAAAAAGUUGACAAUUUUAUACAAAAUUAUAUUUGAGUUGGUAGCACUGUACCGAUAACCAAAGUUUGAACAUAGCUAAUAAUACAUUAGGAGACAGGAAAAAGAAUAAAUUAGAAAUGGAUAGACGAGGAAAGAAUAAUAAAAAAAUAUGGAAAUUUUUCUAAACUUCAGGAAAAAAUUUUAGAAAUGGAUAAACGAAGAAAGCAGAAAAAAGUUCCCAAAAAAAAAUACAAAACUGGUUAAAUAUCAUUUUGUCAAAAACCCAAUAAAACUUAAAAUCACAAAACCUUAGAAACAAUAGAUGGUGACCACGAACAUCAAACUGCAGUGCUCAAACAAAAAAGGUAUGACUAAUGAGUUACUCCAUCUGGUGAUGCUAGAAAACCUUAAUGAACAUUCUAAUAAAAAAUUUCUACGGUGUACCAUUUGUUUUUUCUCUUGUCAA
rnacentral:lncRNA from 1 species